AUGCCAAGUGUGGACCAGCUGAUGUUGAAGAGCUCCUAUGGAUGCCUUGUUCUUGCAAACACUUCUCCAAAAAUAAUGCUCGAGUGCUCUGCUACUGAGUUGGUGAGCUGCAAACUCUCAGAGGCUCAUGCCACAGAGUUCUAUAUCAAUUGCUCGAUACAUUUGAGGUUUGAAUUCAGUCCCUUGAUGGUUUGGAAGAUUGCUUGGGUGCUUGGUUCUGUGUGUACUAUUGUUGCAUACAACUCCCAGUGUGCAGUCUUUACAAGACUGAAUGGUUGGCAUGUGAUGGGUCAACCAAGUGCUCUCAGGUGUAUCUCCCUGAGUGGCAAGCAAAAUUUGAAGGACGGAGGAGUCUUAUGCUUAUGGACAUCUUCCUCGAUCAAGUCUACAUCAGCCACGAGAACUACUUCGACAUCAACCAAGUCCGUGCCAACAACGACUACUACCUCAACGACGCUAGCGUCUUUGAACUUGAUCAAGUCUACCUCGAACAUGGCUACUACCAUGAAGGAUAUCACCACCGCUCUGGCAGUUCCAUGGGACCCGGGCAUAAAUUCUUCGGUGUCGGCUUGGGGUCAAGCCGAGUUUCAAGAAGGGAGGAAUGUCACGGGAACUACUUCAUCAACCACAACCAAAGAGGCUCAAUGCCGGCCCACGAGGCCCAAACAGACUGCAAAGCCCAACCCGAGGAGGCUUGACCUGAUAUAUAGAGGAACACAUCGAUUCAGGGAAGGAUGGAAGAACUGGAACCCGAACUGGCCGCUGUUGGGCGUUUUCCCUCUCCCACCUCCCGGCUCUAGCUUCCCAGAUCCCCUUUCUUGCUGA
rnacentral:rRNA from 1 species